GAGUGGUAAAGUGUGUUUUUCUUCCACUUCCAAACUGUCAAAGUCGCACACAGCACAAAUUAAAAUUCCCAAAAACAAAGAGAUAGAAAAAGAACUCCGUAGAAAGAAGCAAAGCCACAAUUAGCGAAGAGAGAGAGAGAGAGGGUUUUGUGAAUUCACUCACUCACUCACUCUCGAGCUCGAUGCCGCGACCCACUCAGUCAGUCACUCAGGCACAGCGCCACAAAGAUCCACUCUCUGCCACGAGCCCGCAACCCACUCACAAACAUAGCUCGCCGUCGCGACCCCGUGCCACUGCUUUUCCGCGACCCUACGCCGCCGCGAACGCUCACCCUCCAUCUUUCCUCACCGUGUUAUUGUGACAGAAAGUGAACGAUUGCUGCUCUCUUUUGGUGUUGUCAUUGAAAGAAUUUGGUAGUUGAGAAGUAAGCAUUUAACCGCCUUCCAGCUUUGCUUUGGUUUUGUGCCACCUAUUGCUUUGUUUUGUGUCACCUGCCUGCUGUGCUGCCUUUUUUCUGUGACGUUGAGAUGUGUCCUCUCUCUUCAUCCCUUCUCUUCUUUACCAGAAGAUUAUUCCACCUAAAACCGCACCUCGCCACACUGCUGCACCCUCACCCUCCAUUAUUCUUUCUUCUUCUCUCUCUUUUGUGUUUUGGGGAAAAGAGAAGAAGUGAGGAACCGAAGAAAGAAGAAAAGAAAAAGAAACAAAAAUGGCUGAAUCAAAAUUAUUGGACCGUGGAAGUUGGAAGAAACGGUAUUCUCAACACUCAACUUUAUUUCUUUCUCUCACAAUAUAAAAAAAAGCGAUUAUCUGAUCAAGCUUCUCCUAAUCGGCGACUCUUCCGUUGGAAAAUCCUGCUUGCUUCUCAGAUUCGUUGUUGUGGAUCGGGACUUAGCAGUGAGACAAUCUCGGAGAAUGGACACCAUUGGAUUGGGCUUGAUAUUUCAGCAUCAAUUCCUAUUUAUUUUGAAUUUUUAUAUAUUUGUUGCUAAUUCUAUUUAUUUUUGUUAAAUGUAUAAGAUGUUGCGGUGGAGCGAGAGGUUGAGGGUGACCUUUUACUUGGUGACAUGGGUCAGGGUCUAGGAAUUUGUCCUGGAGUUUUGGAUGGAGCCAUUAGUAUAUCUGCUGUUCAGGUCUCAAUACGGAAAAGAUUGAAAAGUGCAUGGGAGAUCCAGACGCCGAUACCGAUAAUCCUGUUUUGAAAGAAGAGCAAGAUGCCCAAGUACUGUCUUUUAUAAUUGCUAUUUAGUUCAUUGUAUCAGUGUAGUAAUAUAUAGAUGUUUAACAAAAUUAGUUUUUAUAAUUGCUAUAUGUUCUGGGUUUGAGGAAACUACUGAACCGGCCGUUUGCUUGAGCAGUGGUAAAUGUUUACUUCUUUUUUCUUUUGGUACAAGGAAAAUGUACUUUGUGGACUUGAAUUGUUGGUUGUGGACCUGAUUCUUUCUGACUGGCAUGCAAGAAUUAUUGAGACAUUAGAUAUUGUUUUUCUGUCUAAACUUUUAGAAGCCAAUUGAUCAUUUUCUUCCUAAUAACACCCACAUUUCGAGUUUGUGGUGGAUGAAGCAUGUGUCUGAAAUAGCCUUGGAGAAUCUUAGAAUUCGGUUAAGAGGCACAACUGCACAAGCAUGGUUGGUCAUAUAGGGUGGGGGCGAACACAGGUAAUAAAUCAGAAUGAGCCCAUGUUAAAUGUGAAAAAUAAAAUAACUGAAUUUCCGAGAAGUGGGAGAAUGGAAGUCAUGGCAAGGCUUCUCGCUGCUGAGACUUUCUCUCACACUGUAGUAGCCAGUGCAAAGAAAAACCCAGAUUCUUCUUCACCGAGUCCCUGGAGAGACCUUCUAGAUAAUCCCAUGCAGUAACGUGAUUUCCGUGAAAGCAAACGGCAAUGGAUUAGUAAAACCAAAGCACCCUGAUUUCAAACGCAAGGAUCGCAAUUCUCUCUGGCUUGGCAAGGAUGAAAAGUGGGUUUUGCCUAAAUUGGAAGGACUUCAAUUUGAUGUUCCAACUGCUAUAUCCAAAAAAGGUGAUGGUGGUGAGCCCUGUAAUGAUUUGGUGCAAAACUAUGCUAACUGGUGGGAUAAUAGAUUAAAUAAGAGGAAUGCAAAAGCUCCCGAUUUCAAGCACAAAGAAACCGGUAAAGGGUUGUGGCUUGAUUCUUCAUCAGAGUGGGUUUUGGAAAAAUUGCCGCCACCUCUGAAGCCUAAACAAAGUGUAGAUACUGAAAGGACACUGGUUUCAUAAGCAAUGGACAGUGAAGUAGAAAAUGGAGUCAUUCUCUUUGUUACACUUCCAUAUAACUUUGCCCGUGAGAAGUUGGCUGCUGAGUAUAUUUGUAGAGAACUACGUGAGGCAGAUGAAACAAAUUUGCUUCAGGAAGAACGUUGUCUGAUUUUCUUUUUUUUACUUGGUGAAUCGACCCUUUUUUUAAUACAAUGUGUGGAUAUUGCUUACUAGAUACUCCAUAGUAGUUUAUGAUUUUCAUAAUUUAUUUAGUUUAAUGUGUUUUUACUCAUUUUCAAUUGAUAGAAGAAUGAAGGUGCUGAUUGUCACAUGCUGAAAAUGAAUAAGGCUCUGUUUGGAAAAACUUCUCAAUAAGCACUUAUAGAAGAAGAAAAUAAGAAGGGAUGGCAAGACCCAGCAACUUGGGCCAAAACUCUGGGAAAUAGUUGGAGAACAACAGGGGAUAUUGAAGAUACCUGGAAUUGGUGAGCAUACUCACAUUCGUGCUUUUAUUGGACACUUGACAAAGAUAUUGGCAGAACAAAGCUACUAUUUAGGUUGUGUGAAAGCAGAAGGAUCUACAUACAACAUGUGUGUUGUUCUGCUUUUAUUUAAUGUAACAUCUUAUGUGGAUGCAAGAUCUAAAUUUAAUUAUAUAUGUGCAUCAUUUUCCCCUUCAUAGAUAAA